rnacentral:misc_RNA from 1 species
ACGUGGAUGAACUAAGAUAUUUUGCGGAGAGGUUACAUCGUCUGAAAUCACCUGAAGAAUGCCAGCGUAGGCUUCUUGAAAUUCUUGAAGUACGUUCUGAUCCAACUAUGGAUCCGAGUUACGAGUCUGAAGAAGAUAAGGAUGAAUCAAACAAGAAAAGACAAGGAAGUCUCAAGAGAUCUAGAAAUUAUGACUUCGAUGAAAAAG